rnacentral:rRNA from 1 species
UNNANNNNNNNNNNGUCGAACGGUAACAGGAAGGAAGCUUGCUUUCUUUGCUGACGAGUGGCGGACGGGUGAGUAAUGCUUGGGAAUCUGGCUUAUGGAGGGGGAUAACUACUGGAAACGGUAGCUAAUACCGCGUAAUGUCUGCGGACUAAAGGGGGCGAAAGCUCUUGCCAUAAGAUGAGCCCAAGUGGGAUUAGGUAGUUGGUGAGGUAACGGCUCACCAAGCCGUCGAUCUCUAGCUGGUCUGAGAGGAUGACCAGCCACACUGGAACUGAGACACGGUCCAGACUCCUACGGGAGGCAGCAGUGGGGAAUAUUGCACAAUGGGGGAAACCCUGAUGCAGCCAUGCCGCGUGAAUGAAGAAGGCCUUCGGGUUGUAAAGUUCUUUCGGUGAUGAGGAAGGUGUAAUGGUUAAUACCCGUUACAAUUGACGUUAGUCACAGAAGAAGCACCGGCUAACUCCGUGCCAGCAGCCGCGGUAAUACGGAGGGUGCGAGCGUUAAUCGGAAUAACUGGGCGUAAAGGGCACGCAGGCGGUUGUUUAAGUGAGGUGUGAAAGCCCUGGGCUCAACCUGGGAAUUGCAUUUCAGACUGGACAACUAGAGUACUUUAGGGAGGGGUAGAAUUCCACGUGUAGCGGUGAAAUGCGUAGAGA